CCGCUAAAGCAGUGCAGAGAAGGAUAGAAACAUUGUACCCAGCAUUGACCAGACAAACACACAAAUGAGCUUUUGUAGGGGCUACUCCAGGUGGAGGCCCAGGGACAAGACCAGGGCCAGGACGAGGC